GCAAAAUUCCCAAAAUGAAAGCUCCUCCUUUUGAACUGUGCUUACGCACUCUUCAAUGGACCUGCAGCGCUGCUUGUAGAACCUUGAGGCUUGACAGACAUCCCCUUGCACGGAGGGCCGAUUGGGUCCUUUCCUUUCUUAUCCCAAUGUUCUUCUGCGGUCCUGCCUUGGCGGACAGAAGUUCAAGAGAGGUCUUCAAGGGAUUUAUCCCACAUACCUUGUCCCCAAGGCUCUGGAUGUUUGCAGUG
rnacentral:lncRNA from 1 species